AAGUCGUAACAAGGUAUCCGUAGGUGAACCUGCGGAUGGAUCAUUAACACAAAUCCCACAAAGGAAAGAGGAGUUGUUAAACUCUUUAACUUCUUCCUCUUUCUUUUUACACCCCACUUUUUAAGCGAACUCGUCAACGGAAGUUUCCUCUGACUCUAUGUGGAUUGAGUCAUUUCAAGGAGUUUACUUUCCGUUCGUUUUUUUCUUCUCUUUUUCCCUUUUUUAUCACCACACAAACACAAAAACAAAAUUGACUUAAAACUUUUUUUUUUCCUGACGAAAGUCUGGAAGAAAAUCAAAUUAACUAAAUGUACAACUCUUAACAACGGAUAUCUUGGCUCUC
rnacentral:misc_RNA from 1 species